rnacentral:lncRNA from 1 species
GGAGGGGCCUGGGGAGCAGGGGGGGGUGCCUGGGGAGCAGGUGGGAGGGGCCUGUGGGUGCCGGCUCCAGGAAGCCCCCCUGGCCCCCAGCUCUGAACUCGCACCCAGCAGCUGAGCAGUGGGCAGAGAAAGGCUGCCUGGCCCUGUCCACCGUGUCCAGCUCACAGACGGGGAAGCGGAGCCUGCCUCGCCCUGCACCCUGGGUGACACCUUAGAGGGGGGAGGGGGACGGGAACAUGUCCCCUGUACGACGCAGCCCCAGCAGAGGACAGUGCCAACCGUGUCCCUGGACCAGAGGCCCCGACCCGUGGGGCUCAAAGGCCAAGGAGUCUCCGCACACAGGGGUGGCCCUGGGCCUCCUCUGCUCCCCUGACCUGGGCCUCGGCCUCCCCGUCUGCGAGGUGCGCUGCUGUGGCCCUGUGGUGCUCAGGCCGUGUGCCCAGUCACGGGAGGCCCACGCCCGUCCCUCCAUGGGUCCCCUCCGUGGCUGGCAGAGACCGUGGCAGAGCCACGCGACAGACUCACUCAGCACCAAGAGGAAAUGCGCCAUCGGGCCGUGGGCAGCCACGGGACCCUCGAAUCUUGACCAAGUGAAGCCAGGAGCUGCGAGGGCCACUGCUUCCCGAGGCCACCCGACGUCACCCUGCUGGGAAGGAAGAGUCCAGAGUGAAGAGAGGGGUGGCUGCUGGGGACAGGGACAAACGGGCACACGGAGGACACCGAGGGCCGUGAAGGCCCCUCUGUGACACUGAGAUGGCAGAGGCGUGCCACCACGCCCUGGGACAGCCCACGGAACACACAAGGCACGUGACUCGCAAGGCGACGUUGGGUCCCAUCAUCGAGGACGAGGACCUGACAAACGUCCCACGUCAACGCGGGUGUCAGCGGCUGGGGAGGGAGGGGACGGAGCUCUCCGCUGUCCGCAAGUUUUCUUCAUUCAGGAAGUUUUCAGUCGACACGGGAUACUUACGGGGUGACCCCUUGAGGGUCCAGUGUGUGCCAACAGUCACGGCCACCUUGGGGCAGAGCCGUCCUGCUCUCGUUUCCACAGACCUCUCGCUGGCCUCAAGGAGGGAAGGCUGUAGCUGGCCGGGGUGGCCGUGACCACUGCUCCUCGGAGGCUGAGGCAGGAGGACCCCAAGUUUGAGGCCAGCCUGGGCCACUCGGCGAGAACCCACCUUCAAAUGGGGGUGUGGCUCUGUGGCAGUGCCCCCCGGCCUCAUCCCCAGUGCCAACUAGGCCUGGGGACACCCCUCCCCUGGACCCAGGAAGGCCCCCCACCUGCCCAGGGGAGUCCAGGGGCAGCUGGGCUGAGGGCUCUGGGCUGCACCCGUCUCCCCGACUCCCGGGGAGUGUGCGGCCCUGAGUGGGCGCCGAGACGUCCCUGCGGAGUUAGGACGUCCUGGUGGGAGACAAUCAGGAGAGAGACGUCCCCUGUGCUUCGGGGGAGUCAGCGAGAGACACGCGGCCGGAAAACUGGUGGAGACCUGCGUGUGGGCGGGGGGCGGCGGGGGCUCCUGCUCGGCUGUGGUCACCUCACAGAGCAGCGCGUGUCCCCCUUCUCCAGCCAGAAGAACCGAGGCCCGUGGGGACGUGACAGCCUCGUUCUCACCACUGGAACGUGAACUUGAACCUCCUUGGUCACAGGUGCUCCUAGGGUCUGGGCCUGGGGACAGAGGCCUUCCCCACCAGGCCAGCUGGGCCUUCCACCCUCGCUGGGCAGAACCUCGGGGCUCUAGCAGGAUCACGUGGCUUCUCCAACCCCCAGGACAGGGCUUGGAGGAAGGGACUGUCCCCUCCAUUUUGGAAGGGGAAACCCGAUACCGGCUUCUCCCCCAGGGAACCGACCACUUCCUUCCAAGUGACCCCCGGGAGCCUCCGCCAUCUGUUCCAACUCCCCAGGGGCCACUCUGCUCAGCAGAGCCUCGUCCAGUGGCCUCCCUUCCUUCCGCCCCAUCCCAGAGAGCACUUGGCGGGCGAGAGGGAGCCGGCCCCACCCGUGAGUCUGCGGAAAACCGAGACGGCCGCGGCCGGGAGGGGAGGCGAGGCCGGGAGGGGAGGCCGGGAUGGGGGAGGACGCCAGGUGGGAACCAGGCCAUUCAGCUGCAGGGAGACCUGUGGGGGGCCGAGGAAGAGGGGUCAGAGGGAGCAGGGGAGGUGCUGGCCAGGCACCAAGAGGGACAAGUCACUCCAGGGUUGUCAGUGCUUGUCCCCUCAGAGGGCAGAAGAUCCUGUCCUCCCGCUCCUCUUCCUCAGGCAGAGCCACCUGGAAGGAGGUCCCAGACUUGGGGCUGGGGGACAGCCCAGGACCCCAGGCUCCCUGCCGUUGGGCCCCCUCCCCUGACCGCCCAGGACCCCAGGCUCCCUGCCGUUGGGCCCCCUCCCCUGACCGCCCAGGACCCCAGGCUCCCUGCCGUUGGGCCUCCUCCCCUGACCGUGAACCAGGCACCUGCUCCUGCAGCUAAAACCCUCCCCACUUCCAAGUCAGCGAAGGGAGGCCUGGGGGCUCCCCAUUUUACCCGGAGUUCACCCCGCCACUUAGCAGCGGCAGCGGGAUGUGAACAUGCACGUGCACCACGCCGAAUGCCCACGAGCUUGAGACCCCUGGGAGACAGGGACAGAGACCGCGUCACCUGCGCACCCCCUGCACCUAGCAGAGCUGGGCGUGCAGCAGACCCACUGUGUGUGCGGAGGACCCAUGGGCAACCUGGGGGGGCUGUGUCCACUCCCCCACCCAAUCCCCUUGUCCUUCAGGACACGCGGCUAAGCUACCCUCCCCAGGCCCCUGCACGAGGCAGAGCCCUCGGAUGAGUCUGCUCAGGAGAAUACGGGCCAAGUGACAUGUGCAGGGGACAGGCCUGGUCCACAGACAUGUCUGCAAAAUUCUCCACCCUCUGUCCCCACAGCUGCCUGGAUCCUGAGCACCGUGGGGGUGGGGGGGAGCAGAGCCUGGAUCCCCGGGAGCCCAGGGUGGGGGGGACAGAGCCUGGAUCCCCAGGUGCCCCGGGGGGAGCAGAGCCUGGAUCCUCAUGUGCCCCAGGGGGGGACAGAGCCUGGAUCCCCAGGUGCCCCGGGGGGAGCAGAGCCUGGAUCCUCAUGUGCCCCAGGGGGGGACAGAGCCUGGAUCCCCAGGUGCCCCAGGGGGAGCAGAGCCUGGAUCCCCAGGUGCCCCAGGGGAGCAGAGCCUGGAUCCCCAGGUGCCCGGGGGAGCAGAGCCUGGAUCCCCAGGUGCCGCAGGGGGAGCAGAG